UAGCAUCAAGUCUUUGGACAGAAACUGUGGGCACAGCCAGUCACAGGUAGAUCCAAGAGCCAGGGAGAAGAUGGAAGUGGAAGGAAUUUGGAGGUCACAGAUGCUACUGUUGCUACUUCACUGCAUUGCAGAUCAAGAAAUUGAGGCUCAUGGAGUUUAAGUGACUUGCCCAUCAUCACAGAGGAGGUAAAUGUUCAAGGUGAUGCAGCUCCUCUGAUGCCUUCUCCCUUAUCCUAAGGACAUUGGAAAACAGUAAUUACACUUCUCCCCAGAACUGAAAGCCAUCUUACCCCCAUCACCACCCUCUGUCAAGCCACUUAUCUCCUUAUUUCAUAAAUGUAUCCCAAACUCUACUGGGUUUCUAUCUUAGCUCCUCCUGUCCCCAAAAUAGAAACCUGGCAAGAUACUAAGCAUCAGUUGGCAGAUGUGGGGGGGGGAGGGAAGAGUAAAGGAAUUUGUGGGAAAAAAUAAAAAGUA